rnacentral:rRNA from 1 species
GCCUAAAGCGUUCGUAGCCGGACUUUCAAGUUCGCUGUGAAAUGUUGGAGCUCAACUCUAACGCGUGCAGUGAAUACUAUAAGUCUUGGGAAUGGGGGAGGGUCGGAGUACUUCCAGGGUAGGGGUAAAAUCCGUUGAGCCUGGAAGGACUACCAGUGGCGAAGGCGCCGAACCAAAACAUGUCCGACGGUGAGGGACGAAAGCUGGGGGAGCGAACGGGAUUAGAUUUUGAAAACGUCGUUUUCAAACUUUCGUUGAAACUUCGUUUCAACUAAAUACCCCGGUAGUCCCAGCUGUAAAUGAUGCUGACUGUGGUGUUGCCUAUGAGUAAUCAUAGGCAGUGCUGUAGCGUAGGUGUUAAGUCAGCCGCCUG